rnacentral:sRNA from 1 species
AAAGCAUUAAUUUACAGAUGGCACUUCAUUCCUUGCGGUACACCUUUCAAAAGACCUAACAUAAGAA